GACGAACGCUGGCGGCGUGCUUAACACAUGCAAGUCGAACGGAAAGGCCCUGCUUUUGUGGGGUGCUCGAGUGGCGAACGGGUGAGUAACACGUGAGUAACCUGCCCUUGACUUUGGGAUAACUUCAGGAAACUGGGGCUAAUACCGGAUAGGAGCUCCUGCUGCAUGGUGGGGGUUGGAAAGUUUCGGCGGUUGGGGAUGGACUCGCGGCUUAUCAGCUUGUUGGUGGGGUAGUGGCUUACCAAGGCUUUGACGGGUAGCCGGCCUGAGAGGGUGACCGGCCACAUGGGGCCUGAGAUACGGCCCAGACUCCUACGGGAGGCAGCAGUGGGGAAUAUUGCACAAUGGGCGGAAGCCUGAUGCAGCAACGCCGCGUGCGUGAUGACGGCCUUCGGGUUGUAAACCGCUUUCGCCUGUGACGAAGCGUGAGUGACGGUAAUGGGUAAAGAAGCACCGGCUAACUACGUG
rnacentral:rRNA from 1 species